rnacentral:misc_RNA from 1 species
AGAAUCGACCGAUACACAUGUACUGGCUCAAGUUGCAGAAUACCGCCAGGGUACAAGAGAGAAGGAUGAAGGCAAUUGCGCCAGUGGAAAAAGUAUACUCGUGGAGGGAGAGACCGCUGAUGGUGUAGUCCACAAAUGGGCCGAACACAAGCAGCGACGCUGCCUGUAUGGGUGCGGUCUGGCUCAGGAGCUCGAAAGAGCUGAUGCUAUACUUUUUCUGAAGAGAACCAAUUGUAAUCUGCUGUAACGAUGAGCAGAACACGGCAACACAGGAGCAGAGAAGCCCCAAGGUGUUGGCCUUGACAUCCGUCACCGUGCAAACCCCUACUCCGAACGCCACGACCGACACCGACAUGAUAACCCGAGCAGAGUAAUGCUUCCGGUGGAGCACGAACUCCAUCAAGCAUACAACCGGGAUCAUGCUCAACUUCGUAAUCUGGUAAAAUCCAACCGAGUUGAGCAUCAAACUGAAAUUCAUCCCGGUGAUUGACAAAUUGGCGAUAAUCGAGAACCAGAGGAGCUCCCAGAGCGGGAUCGGCUUCGAGUUCGUGCAUCCGGCCUUCUUCGAUAUCCAUCCGACUAGUGCAGUCACUAGGAAGUGGAAUCCCGUUAGCGUCGUGGCGAAUCCGAACCCGUAGCCGGCGGAGGACAUGAGCUGUUUAUUCACCAUGAUGAUCCCGACGGAGCUGACGAUGUUCAUCCCCCAGGCGCCGACGUUCGACACCGCGGGCUUCUUCUCGGAGUCCAUGGCCGCCGGCGAGAAGCGA